GAGCAAGAGCGUCGAAUUUAUAAAGAUGGCGCGACUCUGCAUUGAAGGUUGGCGAUAUGUUACAAGCGAUUCUCCGUGCCUUUCAAAUCUCUAUUAGUUUUGAUUAUGGCCUUGAACAAAUCGCUACAUU